UUGUUUAUUAAUAAUUGAUAACUAAUAAUUAUUAAUAAUUUUUUAAGUAAUUUUCUAAAAUCAUUUUUGCUUGGAAAAAUAUCAAAUUAAUGAUCAAAGUCGCUGAACUGAGAAAUGGAAUGGUAAUUUAUCUGGAAGCUUAUCAGUUUAAAAGUGAGCGAAGUCAAGAAAUUACGACUUUAGCUAAAAGUGAAGAGAUUUUUUUUAAUUUACAUAAGAACACAAAUCGAGAGCAUUUGAAUUUUGUUGCAUUAAAUGCGCGUGAAACGUCAAUCAUAAAGAGGGAAAAUUUUAACAACCAAAAAGCAAGAUUACAGAACGUCAAGAUAACAAAGGGACGGGAGUGGAGAAGAUUGAAAAAGAAGAGAAAGAAGAAAUAAAUUCAAGGGAUUUCAAAAGGGAGAUAUCACCUGGACCUUGGAUUGAAUUGAGGAAUACAGAAACAUCUACUAAUUCAAAGGAAGAAAUACAGGUCACUGGAGAAAAGGAAUUAUCAAUGCGACUCUUCUCCGUUGGUGGUAAAAUUAUUUUCACCGAGGAUUCAGAUGAAGAGAUCAUAAGUACAUCAUUUUCCAAUAAAAACAAAAUUCUUCUGUGGAGCCGUUUUUAAGAAAAGUUGAUUUGAAAAUUCAAAAUAACGAAAAUUCAGCUUUUCUUCGAGAAAUAUACAUUUGAGAAAGAAUAUCAGCAGAAAAAGCUUGUAGAUAUUAAAAAAGCAAUUUUUUUAUGGUUACUGAUGUCAUAUACAAUUAAUAGUUUACGUCAGAGGCGAAGAAAACUAACCCUUUGCAUGUGUUUUUAGUUUUUCUUUAUUUAAAAAAUAAAAGAAAGAAAGAAGGAAAUCUUUACUUUAUUAUGCUUGGCUUAAAAUGAAAAAAGAGUUAUACACUCCAUAUACUUUUUUUUCUUCAUUUAAAACAAGUUGAAAUGAAACAACUUGCUUUACGAAUUUUAUUUUCGCACAGUUUUUAAUAAUAAUGGAAUAUAACAUUUUAUAAUCUAGGAAAAUGUUACAAUACAGUUAUAUAUUAUGUAACAUAUUAUGUAAUUUAUAGGGGAGAGGUACGCACGUUGAGACGGGUUCUGUUUUUCAGUUAUAAUUUUUAAAAAACAAAAUUUAGCGAAAAAUUUGAAAUGCUUUCUUAAAAGUAUUGUCCAAGGCUACAACAUUGCCGAAGAAAGUUAUUUUUUUUGGACAAAAUUGAAAAAUUUAUAGCUGAUUUUUUAAACAUGUUAUUUUUGACCAAAAAAAAGUGGUACGCACGUUGAGACACCCAUAGUAAUUUAUUUUAAAUUGAAA